UAUGUGAUCGUCUCUCGCAUAUCAAUAAGCGGAGGAAAAGAAACUAACAAGGAUUCCCCUAGUAACGGCGAGUGAAGCGGGAAGAGCUCAAAUUUGAAAUCUUAAAGGGUUUCCCUUUACGAAUUGUAGUUUAAAGAAGUGUUUUCUGUUGAGGUUUUGGUAAAAGUUCUUUGGAAUAGGACAUCAUAGAGGGUGAGAAUCCCGUAUUUGACCUUUACUUUCAACUUUGUGAUACACUUUCAAAGAGUCGGAUUGUUUGGGAAUGCAGUCCAAAAUGGGUGGUAAAUUUCAUCUAAAGCUAAAUAUUGGCGAGAGACCGAUAGCGAACAAGUACCGUGAGGGAAAGAUGAAAAGAACUUUGAAAAGAGAGUUAAACAGUACGUGAAAUUGUCAAAAGGGAAGCGUUUGACACCAGUGUUGUUUUUCUGAAAAUCAAUUAAAGAACUGUUUAUGCUAAGUUGUUUAGACUUUAUCAGCUAACUGUUUAGUUUUGAGCUUUUCUUUAAUGCACUUUUCAGUUAACAAGUCAACAUCAAUUUCUUUUGCUGUAAAAAAGCUUGAGGAAGGUGGCUUGAGAUUCGUCUUAAGUGUUUAUAGCCUUGUGCCUCUGCAGUCGGAGAGAUUGAGGUCUGCAGCGUAGAUCCUUCGGGGUUAAAUGCAUUUGUGCUAAGUUAUAGCAUUUCAUAGACAACUUGUUGACUAUGUUUAGUCUUGUAGCUUACUCGCUGACAGCUAUUUUACCUACGCUUAGGAUGUUGACGAGACUGUCGAUCUCAUCUAUACAUGACUCUGCGCAUAUCAAUAAGCGGAGGAAAAGAGGGCUAUUACCUACGCUUAGGAUGUUGACGAGACUGUCGAUCUC
rnacentral:rRNA from 1 species